rnacentral:rRNA from 1 species
UCGCGAAUCAGAAUGUCGCGGUGAAUACGUUCCCGGGUCUUGUACACACCGCCCGUCACACCAUGGGAGGUCAGUAACGCCCGAAGUCAGUGACCCAACCGUAAGGAGGGAGCUGCCGAAGGUGGGACCGAUAACUGGGGUGAAGUCGUAACAAGGUACC